rnacentral:rRNA from 1 species
GAGGAAUUUUGCGCAAUGGGGGGAACCCUGACGCAGCAACGCCGCGUGAGUGAAGAAGGCCUUCGGGUCGUAAAGCUCUGUCGGGCGGGAAGAAACUGUGCGGCAUCAACAUGGCCGUGCACUGACGGUACCGCCGAAGGAAGCACCGGCCAACUCCGUGCCAGCAGCCGCGGUAAUACGGAGGGUGCGAGCGUUAUUCGGAAUUAUUGGGCGUAAAGGGCGCGCAGGCGGUCUGUCAAGUCGGCUGUGAAAUCCCGGGGCUCAACCCCGGAAGAGCGGUCGAAACUGACGGACUUGAGUAUGGGAGAGGAAAGCGGAAUUCCUGGUGUAGCGGUGAAAUGCGUAGAUAUCAGGAGGAACACCGGUGGCGAAGGCGGCUUUCUGGACCAAUACUGACGCUGAGGUGCGAAGGCGCGGGGAGCAAAC